rfam:Talaromyces stipitatus ATCC 10500 scf_1105507295511 genomic scaffold, whole genome shotgun sequence.
GCCCGGUUAACUCAAUGGUAGAGUGUCAGGCUUUUAUUGCCUCCAAUGAGAACCUGAAGGUGUAAGUUGCUCGAUGCACAGCAAAUAUCUAUAACAUAGAUGCUAACGUCUACGCAGUGCGGGUUCGACCCCCGCAUCGGGCU